ACUACUAUUUACAGACUAUCCUAGUGAUUGAUUGCAUUGCAAGGAGGUUUCUUUUCUAUAUUUUGUCCAGAAGUCAUUCUCCAAUUUUUCGAGCAAAUACGUCCAAGCUUGCAAUAGUUCAAUGAUGGGCCUAUCAUUUAGGAGGUGUUCACCAUGCUUUCUCUUUUGUAUUUCCAAGGCUUCUGUCAGGAGAGCUUGUGAAUCUAUAGUCAAUGGUUUUACUGCCUUAGCAUCCUGCCAUGAUAUCUUUAGGUUGUUGCUAAAUGCUUCAGUUGGUUGCAAGAUGGUGGAGAGCUUUCCUUUGGAUAUAUCUUAUUCAGUCUUUUUUCCAGGGUUCUGGUGGU
rnacentral:lncRNA from 1 species